CCAGAGUACAGAUCAUGACAGCGCUCCGCCUUCAAACCGAGGGCCUUUUGCAAGGCGCAUGAACUGCUCAUAUAAAAGUUGCAGUCAGCAUGAAGCAAUUGCAGUCAGCAUGAAGCAAUUGCAUGGGAACCGACUGGCUGUCUUGGGCCUACACGUUGCUGAAAAGACAGUGAAGACGUCUGACCCGACAGGUAGAAAAGAAGCAGAUGGCUACAGUGAUCAAUGAAGAAAUGGCUUCAUCUAUGAUGGCUCGCCUUAGGACAUUGGAAUGGAGCUACAAAAAGGCAUCAUCAUCCUCGCCUGUGCCCUGGAACUUUGGUUUGAAUGAGACUGUUCUUCAAUGUAGAACGGCCGCAAGACUUGUCACCACAAGGCAUAGUGCAAGCUCAAAAUAUUGUACAGGAGGCUAGAAUAAAUGACCCUCCAUGCAGUCACUCUGUAUCUGUGAUAAAUGGGACCAUUUCACGCAGAACACUCACAAGUGAUAAUGUGUUUUCUCUCAAAGUUGCUAUGCAGUGCGUUUGUAAACACAUUACCUAUUGUAUGCACACCAUACAUAACAUUUCUGUGUGCUAGCCUAACUGUAGACUUAGAAACAAACAAUGAAGUGCAUAUGUACC